rnacentral:rRNA from 1 species
AGUGAACGCUGGCGGUAGGCCUAACACAUGCAAGUCGAACGGCAGCACAGUAAGAGCUUGCUCUUACGGGUGGCGAGUGGCGGACGGGUGAGGAAUACAUCGGAAUCUACUUUUUCGUGGGGGAUAACGUAGGGAAACUUACGCUAAUACCGCAUACGACCUACGGGUGAAAGCAGGGGAUCUUCGGACCUUGCGCGAUUGAAUGAGCCGAUGUCGGAUUAGCUAGUUGGCGGGGUAAAGGCCCACCAAGGCGACGAUCCGUAGCUGGUCUGAGAGGAUGAUCAGCCACACUGGAACUGAGACACGGUCCAGACUCCUACGGGAGGCAGCGGUGGGGAAUAUUGGACAAUGGGCGCAAGCCUGAUCCAGCCAUACCGCGUGGGUGAAGAAGGCCUUCGGGUUGUAAAGCCCUUUUGUUGGGAAAGAAAAGCAGCAGGUUAAUACCCCGCUGUUCUGACGGUACCCAAAGAAUAAGCACCGACUAACUUCGUG